rnacentral:rRNA from 1 species
UUUGAUUCUGGCUCAGGACGAACGCUGGCGGCGUGCCUAAUACAUGCAAGUCGAACGCUUCUUUUCCCACCGGAGCUUGCUCCACCGGGAAAAGAGGAGUGGCGAACGGGUGAGUAACACGUGGGUAACCUGCCCAUCAGAAGGGGAUAACACUUGGAAACAGGUGCUAAUACCGUAUAACAAUCGAAACCGCAUGGUUUCGUUUUGAAAGGCGCUUUACGGUGCCGCUGAUGGAUGGACCCGCGGUGCAUUAGCUAGUUGGUGAGGUAACGGCUCACCAAGGCCACGAUGCAUAGCCGACCUGAGAGGGUGAUCGGCCACAUUGGGACUGAGACACGGCCCAAACUCCUACGGGAGGCAGCAGUAGGGAAUCUUCGGCAAUGGACGAAAGUCUGACCGAGCAACGCCGCGUGAGUGAAGAAGGUUUUCGGAUCGUAAAACUCUGUUGUUAGAGAAGAACAAGGGUGAGAGUAACUGUUCACCCCUUGACGGUAUCUAACCAGAAAGCCACGGCUAACUACGUGCCAGCAGCCGCGGUAAUACGUAGGUGGCAAGCGUUGUCCGGAUUUAUUGGGCGUAAAGCGAGCGCAGGCGGUUUCUUAAGUCUGAUGUGAAAGCCCCCGGCUCAACCGGGGAGGGUCAUUGGAAACUGGGAGACUUGAGUGCAGAAGAGGAGAGUGGAAUUCCAUGUGUAGCGGUGAAAUGCGUAGAUAUAUGGAGGAACACCAGUGGCGAAGGCGGCUCUCUGGUCUGUAACUGACGCUGAGGCUCGAAAGCGUGGGGAGCAAACAGGAUUAGAUACCCUGGUAGUCCACGCCGUAAACGAUGAGUGCUAAGUGUUGGAGGGUUUCCGCCCUUCAGUGCUGCAGCUAACGCAUUAAGCACUCCGCCUGGGGAGUACGACCGCAAGGUUGAAACUCAAAGGAAUUGACGGGGGCCCGCACAAGCGGUGGAGCAUGUGGUUUAAUUCGAAGCAACGCGAAGAACCUUACCAGGUCUUGACAUCCUUUGACCACUCUAGAGAUAGAGCUUCCCCUUCGGGGGCAAAGUGACAGGUGGUGCAUGGUUGUCGUCAGCUCGUGUCGUGAGAUGUUGGGUUAAGUCCCGCAACGAGCGCAACCCUUAUUGUUAGUUGCCAUCAUUUAGUUGGGCACUCUAGCAAGACUGCCGGUGACAAACCGGAGGAAGGUGGGGAUGACGUCAAAUCAUCAUGCCCCUUAUGACCUGGGCUACACACGUGCUACAAUGGGAAGUACAACGAGUCGCGAAGUCGCGAGGCUAAGCUAAUCUCUUAAAGCUUCUCUCAGUUCGGAUUGUAGGCUGCAACUCGCCUACAUGAAGCCGGAAUCGCUAGUAAUCGCGGAUCAGCACGCCGCGGUGAAUACGUUCCCGGGCCUUGUACACACCGCCCGUCACACCACGAGAGUUUGUAACACCCGAAGUCGGUGAGGUAACCUUUUUGGAGCCAGCCGCCUAAGGUGGGAUAGAUGAUUGGGGUGAAGUCGUAAAAAGGUAAC